rnacentral:rRNA from 1 species
GAUGAACGCUAGCGGCAGGCCUAAUACAUGCAAGACGAACGGUAAGUUGAGUAGCAAUACUUAGCCAAGAGUGUCGUACGGGUGCGUAACACGUAUGCAACCUACCCUAUACAGGAGGAUAGCCUAGGGAAACCUGGAUUAACCCUUCAUAGUAUUAUUGGAUGGCAUCAUUUGAUAAUUAAAACUGAGGUGGUAUAGGAUGGGCAUGCGUCUGAUUAGUUAGUUGGCGGGGUAAUGGCCCACCAAGACGAUGAUCAGUAGGGGGUUCUGAGAGGAAGAUCCCCCACACUGGCACUGAGAUACGGGCCAGACUCCUACGGGAGGCAGCAGUAGGGAAUAUUGGUCAAUGGAUGCAAGUCUGAACCAGCCAUGCCGCGUGCAGGAAGAAGGCCUUCUGGGUUGUAAACUGCUUUUGCCAGGGGAUAAAAUUUCCAUGCGUGGAAACUGAAGGUACCUGGUGAAUAAGCCACGGCUAACUACGUGCCAGCAGCCGCGGUAAU